rnacentral:snoRNA from 1 species
CCCUGUGUGAAGUGAUUACAGCCUGCCUGUGUCCUGGUCGUUGGUAAUGCAGGCAAAGGAAAAGUUGGGAGGUUUUCCUUGCAUUCAGGACAUCCAUAUGUGUCCCUUCCAAACG